GUGCAGGAAAGAUGAAAAACGGGAUAAAAUUCUAUGUGAGAGAUGACCGCUAAAGGAGUGCGAUGCCACCAUCAUGUGCCACAAACCAUACCAAGAACGGCGGGUUAUGGAUAGAGUUCAUUUGAUCCAUCUGAUAAAAAUACCUAUUGGGGAAUAAGCAUGAAAAGUAAUCAACCACUCUUUCCGCAGUGGAGUUCGGCCAUGAUGAUCAGAAGUUUAGGACCACACUGUAGUCAAGAAAAAGGAAUGAUCUUCGUAAGCUACACCCUUUCGAUCCCAAUCUUACCUUUUUUUAAAUUAGUUUUGUUAGUGCUUCCAUUACUUCCAUUAAAAUAUGCUUAAUGGGCUAGAGACUGUACCUUUUCAGAAAGUUAUAGUGUGUGGUAUGUUUGCUGAACUUUUGAUGACAGUUCUUCAGGCAGGAUUUUCGUCCCUAUAUUUUAACUUUGAACGUCAUUAUAUUUAGACAAAUGAUGUGUUUACUGAAUUAUCGUUGUUUAAUUUUUGAAGUUAUGCCUUUCGUAAUAUUCAACUGUAGAUAGACCAAAAGAUAUAGGUAUUAAAUUUUGUGGCUCUAGCAUAGAUGUUUAUCACCACAGUGACAUUUAUUUUUCAAUUUAGAUAAGAAAAAAGAGAUAAGUAUUGAACAGAGAGUAGAGAGGAUAAGAGCAUUGUAGUUCAGCGUGGUUCAUGCCAAAGACUAUGAUACAUAUAAUUUCUUAGGAUAGUGAAAAUUCAUUGAUGAUGCAGUGGAAGUAACACAAGUUCUGCUAGAAUUUCUCUCACAUAAUAUGGAUAGAGGUGGGUUUUGCAUAAUCCAUCUCAGUAACAAGCUUGCAUUGAGUUAUUCUUUUCAAGAAGCUUACCAUGCACAACUACAGGAUACUUGUAGUUCUCAGUGGCAAUUCAUAGCUACAUUCUUCAAUGGGAGACCUAGCAUGCCUUGAGUACAACAAUACAUGAUCGUCUGGCAACAAACUGUUCAUGAUUGAUGCAUAAUAUGUCCUCUGUCCGCAUUUUAAGUAUUUAUAUUAAUAUUUCUGGUUAUCACUGCGGGAGUUGAAAUGGAUUUGAUGAGGGAAGUCUGCAAUGCAGACUGUGUUAAGUGUACCCGCUCCAGAUUUCAUCGACAGUAAAUGGUCCACUGCUAUUGGCAGGUGCCUUCUUGCACUCUUCUGACCCAGAUACGAGGAAUAUGUAUGCGUUGGUGGGUGCUGGAGGUUCCCUGCAACACCCGAGGAUCCGAUGGCGAGCCGUAGGUCGGGGAAGUCGUCAGCAUACAUAUAAGGAGAUGGAGGUGGAGGUGGCGGUGGAGGGAGACGGGCAUUCACUACUCGUCGGAGGGCGAGGGCACGGAGGACAACCGGCACGACGAUUACCACGCCUUCCUCCCGUCGAAUCACUCAAGCACGACGUCCUGGUCCUCUCUAUCCAUUGGCCCCCUCCAACAUCUACCAUGAUGACCACAUCUUGUUUGUGUAGCAGAAGCGGCGGCCAUCCAUGAUCUUCUUUUGUGCCGACCUGCUAGAAACAGGUUGGGCUAUAGACAACUAGAGAUUGGUCACCUGUCUAGCAGCUCAUUUCUGAAAACAAAGACCAGGUCUAUGUGUUCAAAAUCAUGAAGGAGGAUGUCAAAGUGUUUCUGCAGCGCAUCAGA